UCGGUUAUUUGGGCACCAUGUGGGGACUCAGGUCGUCGCAGUAUCCCCACCGGAUGAAGUUCUAGAGUUUUUAGACUAUUCAUUUAUAAGAAGACAGAAAAUGAUGAUGGGGGGAAUAAAGCGAUCGCGGGUUUAUUAAAGAAUUGAGUUUUUUAAUAAAUCGUGCGACUAUUUCGUUCAUCAAGAGAUAUAAUUUUGUCAUUGUGUCCUUUGCAACACAUCCUUGAUUUUAUUUUUAUGCUUUGUUUGUCAAUAUAGGUGUUUUUUUAGUGUUUUGUUUCAGGUUGAGCAGAAGAAAGAAAUUAAUUAAGAGAUUUGGUCACCUACUGUUGUGAACCUUCAAAACUCAUUGAAAUUUGGUACAGAAAAGAUUUGGCCUGCUACUGUUGGGAACCAUUGCAACCCAUUGAAAUUUGGAACAGAAAAGUUAUUGGACCUGCAAGUAUCAGUAUUAUUCCCUGCUGCUUCAGACUUUGUUACCGAUGAG